GGUCCCAUAGCUCAGUUGGUUAGAGCGUCGUACUAAUACCUCCUCACCUUGAAGAGAUAUCAAGUAAAUGCGAAGGCCGAGAGUUCAAGCCUCUCUGGGACCA
rnacentral:tRNA from 1 species